UCUUGACUAGUAUAUCGGUUCAGUACACCCGCUUGUCAUGAUACCGCUCUCUCAUGCAUUCGCGGGAGAGCAGGGUUCGACUCCCUGGUCGAGAG